CUCUACCAACCACAGAGCCAUAACAGCCCCAGAAAACUGCACACACUGACCAGGGUGACUGGCUAAGAGACCGCAGAUACUGAGUGGCACACACAGCUCUCCUCCGGUGGAUGGACAGAAGGACACGACAGAUGCUGAAGAUGAGCAAGUUCAUGCAGUCCAGAUGUUGGAAUAGCCCAGCACAGGUGACCCUGCUUUCCACAAGCUCAGCUCCCUUGUUCUGAUGACAUGAACAGAUCACCAGCAGGAUUAAGUACCCCAGAGAAACCAGCCAAAAUCACUGAGUCACUCCUACCAGAACGCAAGACUUGUGGGUUAUGAUGCCCCUAGGGAAGAGAGGUGGCUCAGUGGGUGAUGUCGGAUCUUGCAAGGGACUGGAGCCUGGUUCCCAGCACAAGCUCCUGCAACUCAAACGCCAGGGAUCUGAUGUCUCUGAAAAUCAACGUGACAUAUCUGAAAAAGAGAGAAACUUCGUGACUGGGGAGACGGCUCAGAGGUUAAGAGCACUGGCUGCUCUUCCAGAGGACUCAGCUUCAAUUCCCAGCAGCCACGUGGCAGUGCACAACUGUCUGUAACUCCAGUUUCAGGGGACCCUCAAAUAGGCAUAUAUGCAGACAAAACAUCA